GAGGGAGCACUAAAACAGAUCAAAGUCAGUAAACAUCACAACAUUAAUGUUUUUGCCUACAAUGUUGCAGCAUGUUUCACUGAGUUACUGACUUUGCAAUAUAUCUCUUGAUCCGUGCCAGGCUCUGAUCCAGAACUAGGGGGUUGACAUCAUUCCCUCCAGACGUCGAGGCUUGUUAUUGCUGCCAUUCCAGAACUCUUUGCUUGGGCUGAGCAAACAUCUUGGAAGACUUCACAAGGGUCCUGUCAUUCAGACAGCGAAGCGCCAUAAUAGGAAGUGAAUUGGAGUGGUGAAUGUUUUCCACUGGAGUGAGGAGACCUUUUCUCCACUGGUGUGGAUUUAACUUGGCUGUAGUCCAUUCAGCAACCAGCCUCAACAGCCUGGGAACAUCCUGCCUGCUCCACAGAGUUCCCACCCGUUUUCUUGUUUCACCUGUUGUUUGAGAUCAGGCUCAGUUCAGGGCAUGUAGGGAUCAAAGCCCUCCUACCACCCCUGUCUCCCUUGGGCACAGUACCCCUCAGACACCUCCCUCUGCUGUCCAUCCUGAGAGGAAGACAGCUGGUGGGAAACAGAGAGUCACACAGCUGGAACAAGACCUCUGCUUUUACAGCCAACGUCUACAUUCAUCAUAUUUGCUCAAGGUUCUGGAAACUUUUGGAGUCCCCUGUGAAAGAGGCCCAGUCAGUUCCACAUCCAGACGUCCCGCGGAGACCAGAGGAUUAUGUUGAAGAAAGUCGCGUGGAGAUGGAGAUGAAGAGAAAGCAGAUAUCUGCGCUCAUAAAUGUUCUUUGUUGACACAAUCCACAGCAGUCUUACCCACAUUUAUAUCUGUGUUUUACUGGCUUGCUGAUAUAGACAAGUAUCAGUAAUGACUUUAAAAUACACUCACCAGGACACACACACACUUUAUCAUGGCGGGUGCAAUAACAUUCUGGUAUGUUUUGAAAGUUUUAUGAGGUAGGCCAAAUAAGACUUCAGGCCAGAGAUGUUAUCUAAAUGAAAGGUUAAACGCGGAUAUAUACUGGCUUCCUCACAGCACCUAGUUUAAUACAGUAUAGUACAUUAGUCAGUAUGGACAUUUGUUCCCAACAUAAUGAACCUAGCUAUAUCUGGGG